rnacentral:lncRNA from 1 species
GUGUCUAUAAACUCAUUAACUUACAAAUUAUGCAUACUUGAUAGAUUGAAAACGUUCGGAGGCAUUCAGGAAAGGAAAAGUAUUGGAGAAGUAGCUUGGUUGACUUCGGUUCUUCAGUGGAGGUGGGUUAUGGUUUAUUCUAUUUGAUAGAUAGACUCUUAAUAGUGAUUGAUAUGCAUUGAGUGAUAUUGUGAAGUUAUCUAUGUACUCUAUUGUGGUUGUGUGACUUGGUUAUGUGGUUUGCGAUUGGUCUGAAAUCCUGAGACCGUGAAAUUUAUAAUCUUGAACUUUCUCUAUCGAAGUGAUGCCUUAAAUAAAGAAGGCUUGAUGAAAUAUUGUUAAUGAAGUGAAAAGUGGUGAUAAUAAAUGAUAAAUUAAUAAUAUUAUUAGAUAGGGUGUCACGUUUCGACACGGUAUUAUUGGAUCGGGGUGUCACAUUCCGACACGGUAUUAUCGGAUCAAGGUGUCACGUUCCGACACGGUAUUAUUGGACCGGGUGUCACGUUCCGACAUGGUAUUAUUGGAUCGGGUGUCACGUUCCGACACGGUAUUAUUGGAUCGGGGUGUCACGUUUCGAAACGAUAUUAUUGGAUCGGGGUGUCACGUUCCGACAUGAUAUUAUUGGAUCGGGUGUCAUAUUCCGACAUGGUAUUAUUGGAUUGGGUAUCACGUUUCGACAUAGUACCUGCACAGGAUGCAACCCCGCCUCCUUCACCAGCAAAUGUUGCAUCUCCGUCUACUCAAGAGAGUUCAAGUGAAAGACCACAUAGGAUGAGGCGCAUCCAAGAACUCUAUGAUGAGAUAGAAGAAAUUACUAAUUUUGAUUUUUCGUGUUGUCUCUUUGCUGAUAGUGAAUCAAUGAAUUUUGAUGAAGCUGUUACUGACAAAAGGUGGAGACAAGCCAGGGAGGAGGAGAUCUAGUCAAUAGAGAAGAACAACACUUGGGAGUUAACAACUCUUCUUAAGGAUCUUUGAGCAAUCGGAAUUAAAUGGAUAUACAAGGCGAAGAAAAAUGCUUACGGAGAUGUAGAUAGAUACAAGGCAAGACUUUUGGCUAAAGACUACAAACAAAGGCAUGACAUCGACUAUAAGGAUGUCUAUGUGCCUGUUACCCGGAUGGAGACGAUUCGUCUAUUGAUCUCUUUAGCGACACAAAUGAAGUGGAAGAUCUAUCAACUAUAUGUCAAAUCGGCAUUCUUGAAUGGAUAUCUUGAAGAAAAAGUCUAUGUUAACAACCAUUGGGCUUUGUAGUAAGAAAUCAUGAAGAUACAGUGUUGAGGUUGAAGAAAGCCUUAUAUGGGUUGAAGCAAGCUCCACGAGCUUGGAAUAGUCGCAUUGACAAAUACUUUCAAGAAAUGAGUUUACUCAUUGUCUCCAUGAAUAUGUUCUUUACAUUAAAGUUCAUACUAAUGGAGAUAUUCUGCUUGUUUGGCUUUAUGUUAAUAAUCUCAUUCGAACGGGUAACAUCCCAUAUUUAUUUGAAGCUUCCAAGAAAGCUACGUCAUGAGUUUAAGAUGACGGACAUAGGGCUCAUGUCAUAUUACUUGGGCCUAGAAGUGAAGAAAAUGGAGGAAGGCAUCUUCAUAUCUCAAGAAAGCUAUACAAAAGAGAUUUUUGAAGAAGUUCAACAUGUUUGAUUGCAACCCUGUGAACACCCCAAUGGAAAAUUGAACAAAAUUGUCAAAGUUUGAUGAUGGAGAAAAGGUGGACUUCACUCUGUUCAAAAGUCUUGUAGAAAGUCUAAGGUACUUGACAUGUACGAUACCAGAUAUACUCUUUGCGGUUAGAGUAGUAAGGAGCACUCACUUGAAGGUCGCUAGAAGAAUUCUACGUUACCUAAAAGGUACGAUCGACCUUGGACAAUUUUAUUCUUUUAUGAUGAUUUUAAUCUUAUGGGAUAUUGUGAUAGUGAUUAUGCGGGAGAUGUUGAUGAUAUAAAAAGCACAUGUGGUUUUGUAUUUUUCUUGCGUGAUUAUGUUAUUUCUUGGAGUUCAAAGAAACAAUCAAUUGUUACUCUCUCGACUUGUGAAGCUGAAUACGUGGCAACGACAUCAUGCUAUUUGGUUUAGGCGAUUGUUGAAGGAACUUAAUUUGCCGCAAAUUGAAGCCACAAUGAUUUGUGUUGAUAACAAAUCUACGCAAGCACUAGCAAAGAAUCCAGUGUAUUGUGAUCGGAGCAAGCACAUAGACACAAGGUAUCACUUUAUCCUGAAAUGCAUUGCCAAGAAAGAGGUAGAGUGAGUAUGUGAAAUCUCAUGAUCAAGUUGCGAUAUCUUUACAAAGCCUCUCAAGUUUGAAGAUUUUCAGAGAUUGAGAUCAAGCCUUGGAGUAAAUAAGACAAAUCAAAAUUAAGGGAGAGAUUUGUGGGAUCGAUAUAUAUAUAUAUGUAUACAUAUAUAUAUAUAUAUAUAUAUAUAUUUGAAGUCCUCAUUUGCUGCAUUAGGCCAACAACAUUAGUCUUCCAUUACUGCAAAAUUGCAAUAAUGUCAAAAAGCUUAAAAGUUGUUUACCUACAAGUUUGAAUUGUUAUUUUCCAUUGAUGUCAAAAUGAGCAAAAUUUUUCUUAUAAAUAGAGCACUUAUGCUCAUUUGUAAGGACACACCAAAAUAGAGAAACAAUAGAGAGUAAUCCACAAGCUAUUUCUUAAUUUGUGAGAAAAUAGUGUGGAAAUAAUAUUAUUGUGAGUUGUAAGAAAUAAAAGAGUGUUAAAUAGUAGUCUUUUGACACUACAAAGUUUUUCAUCAAUAUUAUUGUAUUACUUAUUUGGGUAUCAUAUUUACCCCAUUUUAAUAUUUGGUGUCGUUGUUACUGUCUGCCUAUUGCUAUUUAGUUUUGGACAUUAUCGUGAGAGUGAUUAUCAUUUUGUCCAACAUUCUUGACAAAAACUGCAAUAAUUUUGAAAGGACGGAGCUGAUGGGCUUAUUGAAUUGCUGGCAAGAUUCCAUACGUUGUUGUUGUAAUAAGAGUUUUACCCAGGCGGCUGCAGUAGUAUUAAGAACUCUCUUACCUAGUGCUUAUCAGUCAAUCAAGAGUAUUGAUAGGAAUUUUCUAAUCUCGCAAAACAAAAUGUGAUAUGAUAAAAUAGAAACAAAGAUAGGAAACGGGAAAAGCGUGGGAAAGCUGUAAGUGCUAAAGUAGACACACUUAACAUAAGCAAAAUGUUGUCAGGUGAUGGUCAAUUCAGUGCUUGAAACACGGGUCUUCGUCUAUCCAGAAUCUGUAAUUUGUUCAGUCAUACACAUUCUAGGAUCACCUAACAUAGGGCACCAUAUGUACUAAAUAUUGAAGGGAAAUUAUUUUCAUAUCCUAGAUAUCAAUGUCCUUUGUACACAACAAAAUAAUAACCUCUGUGUUGUAGCUUUAUAUAUAUGGUUUGAUAGUGUGGCUUAUAGUAAAUCAACCAGUAUGCUGAAAUCAUGCAUGCAAAGUCAUAAUGACAAAAAAUGAUAUGAUCUAUUCGCAUAUAAUUAUAUUUAUUAAAAUAAUAUAAUAUAAUCCACAAAAAUACAAUACAAUAUAUUACAAAACAAUAUAUACUAACCAUCCAAACAGUAUGCAGACAAAACAGCAGAAAACACCCUUUACUAUUACAAGUGAAAUUUACACUCAAUAUAGCAAAAUCUGAUGAAAAAUGAUAAUGAUUAGCAUGGAAAAAUCAUAUGAUAAAUAAAAAGUAAAGCUCUUUUGGUUAGUGCUAUAAAGGAAAAUAAUUCAUACUAUCAAAAUCUACAAAAGUUAUAAAGGAUCAGUGAAGCUCUACAUAACAAAGGAUUCACACAUGAGAUAUGUAUUUAAAUAUAUCCCCUGCUUAUCCUAUUUAUUAUGUAUAACUAGAAUUUUGUACUUCCAUUUCAAUUUAUUUGUCUUAUUUUCUUUUUAGUUUGUCUUAAAAAAUAAUGUCACUUUUUCUAUUUAGCAAUUCUUAUGUCAAACAUUCUACUAGACAUAUUUCAGAUUACAAGAUUCAAAAGACAUAUUGCUGCAUUAUACACAUCUUUAGUUUAUGACUACAAGAUUUAAAAGUUCAGUGUCAAGUCAAACUAAGACAAACAAAUUAAAACGGAGGCAACACAUAUAAGAAGUUCAGAAAGAGAUGAGUGAAGAGAAAGUAAUAUACUGGUGCAGACAUGUUUAUCCCAAAGCAGGUGGACAUUUUUGGUUUAAAAGGUUUUGUCCCAUGAAAAAAUGAAACAUAUUUGCAUAACUUGAAUAUUUACGGCAACCAAAUCUAUACAACACAUUUUACAUAAGUUCAAAGCCUAUUUUCUAGACAUGUUGGUAAAUUAUGCUCAUCUAUUGAUAACAAUAUUCUUCCCUCAGACAAGAGAUCAAACUGAUCUCACCGUGAAUUUUUAGGUUAACGUAAAUUGUGUUUCACUCUCACUUAAAGUUUAAGUUAGGAGUUGGACUUGAAUGUUUCGUCCCCACAAAAUCAAGUCAAACUUCAUCUGCAAGUUCAACACUUUCCUCUUCUUCACUUUUUAACCCCAAAGCAGAUAGAAGUAGAGAAACUAAGACUAUUGAAAAAAUAAAAUAAAACUAAUUGCAGCAAAUUUCACGAACAUCUGCAACACUAAUAACAAACAGUGUAUUCAAGCAAACGACAGGAAGUUCCAAACGGACUCCAAGUAAAGGGAGUCAUCUUAAUCCUUUGACAACUUACCAUCUAUUUCCAUCUCACUAAUUUUAAAAAAUAUAAAUUCAAAUUAAGAAAACUCUGUUACUUCAUACACAGUUUUCUGAACAAGCUAGUUGUUGAAUAAUCAUUCCUAACGCACGUCGCCAAGACCAAAUAUUAAAGAAAAACUACUUCUUGAAAUCUAAUUUAUAUCUACAAGCUCUCUAAUGGAGAGUAAUAAAGAAUUACCUUCUAUCCUAUUCCAUUUCUCCUCAUAACCAAAUAUGCAUAAGUUCAUUGUAUGUCCAUUUUACUACUAAUAGAAACUAUGUUGCUUUCUGCCGCCACUAUUCUUUACUAUAAAUAUUCUUGCAUUCCAUUUUAAACAUAAAUUGAAUUCAACAUUUGGCACUUCCCAUAAAGAUCAAUAUUCCUCUUUCAGGAAUCUCAAAGUUGAGGAAAAGAUGAUGGAAGAAAAAUAAAUGAAACCAAGUUUAAUGUCUUCAUAAGAGUGAUCCGAUAGCUGCCAAAUAGACCCAAAACAACUGAAACUACGACUCAGCCACAAAAGCUGGAGGUUGAAGCCGUGUUGACAGCAGAAUCCAAGGCACAACAAUAGUCUUUGAGGUUAUUGUUUUUAAUUUUUUACAUCUUCAUGCAAGAGUAAGAUAACUUUCACUUUUUACCCAAAUGAUCAGAAUUAGCUAAAAUGAAACUGAAGGUAGUACUUGCAGCUUCCGAGAGUCGGCUACCAAUAAGGCACGAAUAGAAAUGACAUUUUGCUCCUCUUCUUUUCGGGAGUUGGUUAUAUUAUAUUAGAUUGUGAGUGGAUGAACUUGAAGCAAGUUGUGAUUUUGGUCUCUUCAUUAAAGAGUUUGAUAAUCGAUGAUUUGCCUUCUUUUACUAAGUGGCUCCACUAAUGAUCUAAAUAGCUGUGAAAUAAAGAUUGAUGCAACAAGCCUUAGUUUCUUUAAGUACAGUGGUUAUCUCUCCAAUGAGCUAUGUGCAACAUCCCGCCUUAAAAAGAAAUAAAGUUAGAAAGAACUAAUUAGGAAAGAGCCAAAUCUGAAAUUUUACAAGUUAUGUUUGAGUUGUGAGUUUUGGGUCAACUUCAAACGACUAUAACUUUUAGUACAAGAUGAGUUAGGUGGCCCAUAAGAUAUCAAAUGAAAGGUCUUUGUAUCCUCUUUUCAACGCCACCGAGUUUGCUAAGUUUUGUGUUCGAAUGAGGGAUAUAUGCCCGUUUGAAGUCAGAAUAUCCAAUGAAGAAAAGUUACCCGAAAAUGUGAGGGGUGUUUUAGUCUUUUCCUUACCGAAUCAGAUUAAAACAUUUUUAGUAAUAUUAUGAGGUCAAAUCUGAUUUGGUUCAGUUUUACAAAUCAUAAACUACGUUUAAGGUUUUAGAAGAGAGUUCAAGAAGAGGAAAAGAGGAGAAAAGGAAGAACGAACAAGGUUUCACAAAUCGAGGAUUUGUUUCACCAAAUCGAGUGUAAGUUUUCAUAGUGUUGGGUUCGUUCACCCACAUGCCAAUCAUGAUUUACAUAUUCGAAUUCAUCCAUAAAGAUUGAAAGAUUUAAGUUCUUGAUGUGUAUUCUUGAAGUACUGCUUUCGUUCUUGAAUUAUGAUGGGUUUGGUGAGUUCUUGAGAUAAAUGUAUUGAGUUUGAGAGUUGUUUUUGAGUAGAUUCUCGUGUACUUGUAUUGGGUAAUUGAAUCUAAGAAAUAUUUGAGAAAAGAAGUCGAUUCUAGACGAUUUAGGGUCAGAAAAUGAGAAAAAAAUUCAUCGGAUUGUUCUGGGGGAGGGCUGGGGCUGUGCGCCCCAGCAGUGCACCAGAAAGCAGCCUCUGAAGUUCAGGGGCUGGUGCCCCGCGCCAGUAGUGCGCCAGUGUCGCCUGCCCCCACCCUUUUCUGGCGCACUGCCCCCACCCUUUUUUCCAUCGUUUGUUGCGUCUAAGUCCUUUUAAAGUGUACCUUUACUUCCUAUUUAUUCUAACUACUCUAAACUACAUCUAAACAUCGAGAUAUCAUUCAUAACAUGAAUCAUAACCUUAAAUUCAUAAUUCAAAUUCAAGGUAGAGUUAAGAGUUAAGUCUUGAGAGUUAAGUCUUGAGAGUUCUUUCAAGUCAUUUUGAGAAGUCUUUUACAAUCUUUUAAAACUUGUUUUAAGACUUGAGUACGAGGAUGAGGAGAGUAGAGAUCGUUUUAAAAAAAAUGAUAUAUGGAAACUAAGUAUCCCAAGAGUAAAUGCUUUUAUAUUUAAGAAGAGAGAAAACACUGAUUUCCAAAAUAGUUCAUCUGGAGUUUUGAGUACUAUCUCUUUUAAGAGAAAUAUUUUGAGUAAUAAUCUCAAAGUUGAGGAUGAGGAAAUGUCUUUAAAAAAAUAUAUGAGCUAAGUUAUAUUUUGGGAAUAUUAUUUAGCACCGAUAUGGGGGAGAGUUCAAACAACUCACAACCCUUAUAAACAAUGUAGCCAACGUGGGUAGGAAGUGUCAUACUUUUUAGAUGAUUCAUUAUUGCUUUUUAAGCAUAGCUUAGUGGAUCCACUUAGUUGAGGAGUUAUAUACCCCGACAAGGUAUAUGACAGUUCUGGCAGCGUGGGCGAGACGUUGUAUCAUCACAUAACUCAUAGUGAUGGUUGUCAGUUAGAGAAUCUCCCAAAUAGAGUUUAUUUUAUAUUUUUACAUACAAAAUGAGUUAUAUUGUAUUUUCCAAUACAUUGAGUUAUUAUCUAUAAACAAUGUAGCCAACGUGGGUAGGAAGUGUCAUACUUUUUAGAUGAUUCAUUAUUGCUUUUUAAGCAUAGCUUAGUGGAUCCACUUAGUUGAGGAGUUAUAUACCCCGACAAGGUAUAUGACAGUUCUGGCAGCGUGGGCGAGACGUUGUAUCAUCACAUAACUCAUAGUGAUGGUUGUCAGUUAGAGAAUCUCCCAAAUAGAGUUUAUUUUAUAUUUUUACAUACAAAAUGAGUUAUAUUGUAUUUUCCAAUACAUUGAGUUAUUAUCUACUAUUUUAAAAGUUUUUCUUCAUAUCGCAUUAUUGUUACUGCUUUUAUAUUGAAAUGAGUUGAGAUUGAGUUGAGGUUGAGUUGAGACGAGGUAAGUUGUUUCUUCAGUUUCAGUUCAAGCUUUUGUCAUGUUUUAGAUUUCCCCUUGCAUGCUCGUACAUUUCAUGUGUUGACGCCAUUUAGCCUGCAUCUUUCAUGAUGCAGAUAUAGGUAACCAGGAUCAUCAACCAGCGCUUCGUUGAUCCAGUUGAGUUCCAGAGUUGUUUGAGUUCUAGAGUUGUUUGGUGAGCUUCUUUGCUUCUGGAGGAUCCCUUAUUUAUCUUCAGUUAUUUCAGUUUUUUAGGAUGAUCGGGGGUCUUGUCCGGAAAUCCCUCAUAGUAUUAGAGGCUUCAUAUAUAGAUAGACAGUAGUUCACGAGUCUUUUCAUUUUCAGUUGUUAAUGUUUUAGACUUGAGUUGCCUCUUUUGACCAGUGAAUGUUUUAUUUCUAAAAUAUUUUGAGUUUACUUUUGAGACAGUUAAGUAAAGUUUAUCUGUUGAGUUUGUUUUAUGUUGAGUAAGUCUUUCGCUGAGAGUUGAGCCAAGCCAAGGGUUCGCUUGAGCCCAUCAAUGGUUCUCGAGUGUCGACCACGUCCAGAGUGUAUGCUCAGGGCGUGAAAAUAUGUUUGUAUAAUCUAUCCCCCUCAGCCAAUGCAUCAAUUCACAUUCCCAUUUUGUAUAAGAAGCAAAACCAAAUUGAUUUUCGUGUUGUUAAGCUCUUUAUAUGGUUACACAAGAUUAGUGCUGCAAUAAUAUCUAGCAGGGCUAUUGAAAUAAUUACUAACAAGAUGGAAAUUAGCUACAGAACAUCACAAUAUAGAAUGUUAAAUGUCUAAAUAUGCAGUAUUGAUAUCUUUUCUUCUUUUCCUUUUCUGUGAUCCCACUUGUUGCUUGACAAAAACAUCUCUAAGACAGGAGAAAUUGUUUGUCGCUUAUUCAAUGUACAUAAUAGAAUAAAUUUGUAUCGACACUUUAAUUAAUCAAAUCAUUCUUUACCGAGCUCAAUAAAAAUAGAUAAAACUAAUGCACGGUUCGACAGACAUACAUGUAGCUGAAAUUCUGAUACAGAUAGCUGCAAAUCCUUAACUUCACACUGCAAGGGAAAAUAAAUUCAAACGUCAGUGCAGUGAGGCAAAAAAACUCUAAGCUAAACCUACAACAGCGGAAGACGAAAAUUGACAACCCCACAAAGUUAAUUAACUCGGAAUCAAAUCUUUAAUAAAUUUUUCUUCCAUUUAAUUACAUCAAAAACUCAUAUGAACAAACAAAAGACCAAAGUAAUUAUUGCAUGUGGCAAAAAAGCUUUGAAUAAAACCAAAGUAAUUAUUGUGUGUGGCAAAAAAAGCUUUGAAAUGGAAAAUGUGCGAAUGACAAGAUGAAACAACAAAAAUCGAAGCUUCAAUUCAUUAUGGUCUCCUAAGAAAAAGCAAACUUGAACAUUAACAACAAAUUCAAAUAAUUAUUAAAAAAAAAAUGAAUACGCCGAGAUCAAAGUUCAUCAACAAAAGAUAAAAAGCUUGUAACUUGAUUUUAUAUUCAACCAAAAAAUGGAGAUUCAGAACAAAACAACAGCAAAAAUAAAUCGUGACAAUAUGAGUUAGGAUUUCAACUAAAAGGAAAAUCUGAAAUGAGGGAAAAAGCAGAGAAUAACGAUUAUAGCUACAAGAAGGAAUAAACCGUCACCAUAGUUUUGGGGAAAAAUCAAAAUAUUAGUACAAAUCAAAGAAACAAUUUGAAUCAGCCUUACCUGAGAUGAAUGGGAGAAACAAAAGGAGAUUUUAGCGACCAAAGCAGAGAGUGGUGAAGGGAGAAAGUUGAAAGAUGAAGCUAAUGAUGUGUCCAUUGAAGAUACCUCUGGAAGACACGUAAACUAUAAUGAUGCACUCAAAAGACCAAAAUACCUUAAAAUUUAAAUUAAAAGACAUGAAGCAUACUUGUUCAAACAAGUCUUUUCUAAAGUAGUAGUUGAACCAAAAAAAUAAAAUAAUAUAUCUUUCACUAUCAAACUAUGCAUACAUGCCAACCAUUUUAUUUUAGUUGUGCUUGGGAAAUGCUCCAACAUAAUUAUUAAUGUAUUUUUUUAAUAGUAACAAUUCAUCUAAUGCGAUGCUGUAAUGAUGCAUAUUUCUUGUAAUUACGCUUAUUUAUAUGUGUUUUAUCUAAUAAACUUUCCCAUCUUUAUAUAUAUAAGAGAAAAUGUUCAAAAUAUAUUUGAAAUUUGACCGAAAUUGCUGUAAUGAUUCUAAACUUUGGGCAAACCCUAUUACCCCUGCACUAGUUAAUAAUGUAUUUUAAGGAUAUAUAUGACAUAUGGACAUCAUAAAUAUUACAUCAUUAUAAAUAGUAACUUGUCCAACUAGACAAUUAAAUAUCUUUUGAAAUACACUAUUAAAUAGUACAAGGGGUAAUAGGUCUUGUCCAAAGUUUGGGAUUAUUACAUCAAUUUUGGUCAAAGAUUUGAUAUAAUUCAGACCUUUUUCCCAGUAGAAUAAUAAAGUCUGACAUACACCUCUGUUUGGCCAGGAUUGCCAUUUAUCUAUUAUGUCAUUUUUUUUGGAUUUUCCCUUAAUUUGUUCUUCAUAAAAAAUCAGAAAAAUAGAUACAUUUAAUUUUCCUCUUUCCUCAUUAUUACUACACUAUUUAUAUCUUUCUAAGAUUCUUAUUUUUCCUUCUUUAUUUUCCGUAUUUUUUUUCAAAAUAAUUGUGCUUUUAAAAAUUUCAAAAAAUAAGCUACACUAACAUUUACAAAUAUAAUUGUAAUUAAAAUAUUACAAAUGUAUUUUUUUUUUAUAUAUACAAAAGUAAAUAGUAUCAAAUAUAGGCAAAGUUAUAUUUAUCUCUUGUUUCUCCUUUUUUCAUUUUGUAUUCUAAUUUUUCAGAAUUAAUUUAUUUAAAAUUAUCAUCUUUAUAACUCAAACCUCUAUAUAUUUAUAAAUGGUACUCUUAACUAUAUUAGUAAAAUAUUCAUAACUAUCUAAUCUUCCUGUAACACCCCGGAACCAAAAGAGGGUAAAUAACACUUUUAAGGAGAUGUAGCUGCCAACCCAUGAGGGCCACCCACGACCCGUGGAUGGGACCAUGGACCGUAGGUGUGGUCCGUGGAUGGCUCUCCAAAACAGAUCUUGAAGGCCCAGAACCACGGCCUGACCAACGGACCGUCGGUCAGGCCACGGUUCGUGGUUGGAGUCCCGUGGUUCGAUGGCCAAAAGUCACUUUCUAACAACCAUCGACAGCCGUGCAGGGUGAACUGUCGGUCAGUCCACGGUCCAUCGAUUGGUGGCCGUAGGUCAUGAUAUGACAGUUAUUGUUAGGGGAAGUUGGGUCUUUUCCUAAUUAUUUUAUUCUUAUACUAUGUCGUUUUACCCUUCACUAAGACCCCUAUAUAAGUGAAUUCAACCCCCAAAUUAGUUCAUUCACUUCAUUCUCUCCAAAUUCACCAAAAAAGAAGAACUCUCUAAUAUUUCUCUCUCUAGAAAGCUUGAAGAAGAAGGAUUCAACCUAGGGUUUUAAGUCAAGUAUCAAUUCCUCCAUUGAAGAUUAGCAAUUGACUUCAAGGUAUGAUAGUUUUCAUCCAUGGAUUCCUUCCAUUCAUGGAGUUCCCAAAUUCCUUUAUUUUCAAAGAUAGAAAUCCCCAAUUGAGUUAAUGUUUUCUUCAAUUGUUAUGGGUUCUCUUGAUUAUUGAUUUAAAUAAUUGAAUUAUGAUCUCUUAUGCAUGAAUUGAUGAAAUACUAUGAUUUUAUGAUGAUUUCCCCUUGAGACCAAGUAAUCUCCAUGUUUUUCAAGUAAUGUUCAUAUGAAGUGGGAUUUUGAUUAUGAAGGAAGAGUUUUAUGAAACUAAGCAUGUAUUCAUAGAAUUACAUGAAUUUAUGAUGAAAUUCAUAUCUAACCCAUGUUUUAAAAAUUUUGAUGAUUGAAAGUGGGUUUUGAACCUUUAAAGGUAAAUUAUGGAAUUAUGCAUGUUCUUAUGAAAUCUAUGCAAAUGUUUUAAGGGUGUUUUGAGAGUAAAGUAUCAAUGAUGAUGUGAAAGGUUUUAUCACAUAAUGAAGGGUUCUAAGGUUAAAAGGUCUUUUCACCUAAUUGAGUCAAAGAUUAAGAGCUAUCCUAAUGAACCUAGAUUGGAUUGAUAAUUGAAAGAUACCUUCUCAUGGAUGAUGACUUAGCUUGAAUUGGCAAGAUGACGUGCCCUUCCAUGGAUAAUAAGAACAAGUAAGAAAUGACCCGUAGGAUUUAUGCUUAGCACCGAGAGGAUAUUGAGAUGGAAUCUCUCCCGUUAGGAGAGGCCGGGUUUCUAGUAGCAAUCUUCUUAUCCCUUACCUAUGUGCCCCCAUAGGAUGAUUGUCUAGUUAGACAUUAGAUAGUGGAUCCACUUUAGCUCAGAUUUAUAGUCCUUACCUUGGCAAGUAGGACAACCCUUUUCGGUGUGGGAGACACCAAGGAUCAUUUUAUAGCUCACAUGUUCUCUAUGUCGGUUAAGAAUAAUCCCCAUAUUAAUAAUGAACUAAGGUUACUUCAAGAAGUAUCUCAUAUGUGUUCAAAUGUUUCAAAGGAUGUUAUAUUACAUUGAACAUGUUUUAUGACUUAUGUUUUCUAACUCUUUUAUAUCAUGUUUUAGCUUGGUCAAUUGCAUGUUAUGAAAUAUCCCUUUUAGCAUGAUUUAAAUGUUUUAUGCAUAGCUAUCAUAUUUGGUACAUUAUUUUGUACUAACACAUACUCUUGCCUACAUUUCCCCAAAUGUAGGGUCUGACAGCCAGGUUUCUCAAAUUCAUGGCUAGGGGUUGAUUUCGAGGUUCUCGAGCUUUGGUGAGUCCUCAUGCUUCGAGGACAGAUUUUCAUUAUUCAGUUUUCUUUAUUAUUUUCAGUUUGGACAUGAUGUAUGGGCUAGGCCCAAUUUCAUUCGAUUGUAUUAGAUGGCUACUGAGACAAAUGUUUUAAACUUACACUUUUCUUUUAUAAAAACCUAUUGGACUUGGACCAUUGUUUUA